UACAGGGGGGGCGAGCGUUGUUCGGAAUUAUUGGGCGUAAAGGGCGCGUAGGCGGUCGGAUAAGUCUUGUGUGAAAUCUUCGGGCUCAACUCGAAGUCUGCACAGGAAACUAUCUGGCUUGAGUGUGGGAGAGGUGAGUGGAAUUCCUGGUGUAGCGGUGAAAUGCGCAGAUAUCAGGAGGAACACCGGUGGCGAAGGCGGGUCUCUGGGCCGAUACUGACGCUGAGGAGCGAAAGCGUGGGGAGCAAACAGG
rnacentral:rRNA from 1 species